UUUCCCAAACCCUAUUUCUGUUCAUGCUUGUAGACCUAUUUCUGUUGAGAAUAAUAAGAUCUGUGGACCUAUGUCUCUCCCAAUUUCCUUCAAUGGGUCUCCCAUCUCAAGUCUCGAUCCGAGAUCAUCGGCCUCAUCUCUGCUCAUCAUUUGGCAUCAUCCUCCGCCCCAAAACGGUAUUAUUUUCUUUCAAUUGGGUAAAAAGCUGGCUUUUUUCGUUGAAUCUUACAACAACUUCCUCAUCUGACACUUACACUUACAUGGUGUUGUGAGCAUGUGGUUUUUAACCCAUCAAAUUGAUCUUCUGGGUUUCUUUAAUAUCGGAAAAGGUUGAGUCUUUCCUGCAGAAAAGCUACGGUUUGUAUCUGAUGAGUUCCAAUACUGCGCCGUCGAGCUCAGGAGGCGCUAGAUCUGCCGAUUCAGCUGCUCCCAGGAGGUCCAAGCGGCCUAAAUAUUCAAGAUUUACUCAACAGGAACUUCCAGCAUGCAAGCCAAUUCUCACGCCAAAUUGGGUAAUCUCAGCAUUCAUGCUCGUUGCAAUCGUUUUUAUAAACAUCGGAGUUGCUACCCUAUUUGCUUCCCGAGAUGUUGUUGAAAUUGUUGAUCGAUAUGAAGCUGAUUGCAUACCAGCAUCCUCUAGAAGUGUUAAGGUGAUAUACAUCCAGACCUGAGGAAAUAAAACAUGCAACAGAACUCUGAUGGAAUCCAUGGUCAACAUUGAUCUACCAAUGACAUGAAUAGCAGGUAGCUCGUGAUUGAAGGAGAAGAUGGAUAGUGUCGCUGCUAGUAUAGGAACAUUUCAACUUCCAAGUAGUUUAACGUACAUGCAUCAACUUCUAGAUAGUUUUAUGUAUGCAGAAUAUUUUGUAUUCAACUAGGAGUAUUGUUGAUCAGAAGGGAGUGCUUUGGAUCCACAUGAAAUGAUUUCAUAUUUGAAUUAUUAUUUUUUUUUUAAUUUGAAAUUUCUGAAGUCACCAUUGUCAACAAUGGUGUGAAAUAGAAUAAGUUUUUAAAAUCAAUUUGAGGCACCAUUGGCAUGGUAGGACCCACAAUUCUAAGGCACCAAAAUUCU